UACGUAGGGUGCAAGCGUUAAUCGGAAUUACUGGGCGUAAAGCGUGCGCAGGCGGUUUUGUAAGUCUGUCGUGAAAUCCCCGGGCUUAACCUGGGAAUGGCGAUGGAGACUGCACGGCUAGAGUGUGUCAGAGGGGGGUAGAAUUCCACGUGUAGCAGUGAAAUGCGUAGAGAUGUGGAGGAAUACCGAUGGCGAAGGCAGCCCCCUGGGUCAAAACUGACGCUCAUGCACGAAAGCGUGGGGAGCAAACAGG
rnacentral:rRNA from 1 species